UGGGGAAUAUUGCACAAUGGGGGAAACCCUGAUGCAGCGACGCCGCGUGAGCGAAGAAGGCUUUCGAGUCGUAAAGCUCUGUCCUAUGAGAAGAUAAUGACGGUAUCAUAGGAGGAAGCCCUGGCUAAAUACGUGCCAGCAGCCGCGGUAAUACGUAUGGGGCGAGCGUUGUCCGGAAUUAUUGGGCGUAAAGGGUGCGUAGGUGGUCUUUCAAGUCGGUGGUUAAAGGCUACGGCUCAACCGUAGUUAGCCUCCGAAACUGGAAGACUUGAGUGCAGGAGAGGAAAGUGGAAUUCCCAGGGUAGCGGUGAAAUGCGUAGAUAUUGGGAGGAACACCAGUAGCGAAGGCGGCUUUCUGGACUGCAACUGACACUGAGGCACGAAAGCGUGGGUAGCAAACAGG
rnacentral:rRNA from 1 species